rnacentral:rRNA from 1 species
AGAGUUUGAUCAUGGCUCAGGAUUAACGCUGGCGGUAUGCCUAACACAUGCAAGUCGAACGGAAUACUAAUUAAGAGAAUCUCACACUAGUGAGAGGUUCUCACGAGUAGUAUUUAGUGGCGGACGGGUGAGUAACACGUUGGAACCUGCCCCGAAGUGGGGAAUAACUGCUCGAAAGAGUAGCUAAUACCCCAUAGUAUCCGGGUUUAUCCGGGAUUAAAGAUUUAUCGGCUUCGGGAGGGGCCUGCGUCUGAUUAGCUAGUUGGUGAGGUAAAAGCUCACCAAGGCGACGAUCAGUAGCUGGUUCGAGAGGAUGACCAGCCACACUGGGACUGAGAUACGGCCCAGACUCCUACGGGAGGCAGCAGUGAGGAAUCUUCCACAAUGGGCGCAAGCCUGAUGGAGCAAUACCGCGUGCAGGAAGACGCUUUUCGGAGUGUAAACUGCUUUUGUCGUCGAAGAUUAUGACUGUAGACGAAGAAUAAGGACCGGCUAACUACGUG